GACGAACGCUGGCGGCGUGCUUAACACAUGCAAGUCGAACGGAAAGGCCCUGCUUUUGUGGGGUGCUCGAGUGGGGAACGGGUGAGUAACACGUGAGUAACCUGCCCUUGACUUUGGGAUAACUUCAGGAAACUGGGGCUAAUACCGGAUAGGAGCUCCUGCUGCAGGGUGGGGGUUGGAAAGUUUCGGCGGUUGGGGAUGGACUCGCGGCUUAUCAGCUUGUUGGUGGGGUAGUGGCUUACCAAGGCUUUGACGGGUAGCCGGCCUGAGAGGGUGACCGGCCACAUUGGGACUGAGAUACGGCGCAGACGCCUACGGGAGGCAGCAGUGGGGAAUAUUGCACAGUGGGCGGAAGCCUGAUGCAGCAACGCCGCGUGCGGGAUGACGGCCUUCUGGUUGUAAACCGCUUUCGCCUGUGACGAAGCGUGAGUGACGGUAAUGGGUAAAGAAGCACCGGCUAACUACGUG
rnacentral:rRNA from 1 species